rnacentral:rRNA from 1 species
UACGAAGGGGGCUAGCGUUGUUCGGAAUCACUGGGCGUAAAGCGCACGUAGGCGGACCUAUAAGUCAGAGGUGAAAUCCCGGGGCUCAACCUCGGAACUGCCUUUGAUACUGUGGGUCUAGAGUCCGAUAGAGGUGAGUGGAAUUCCUAGUGUAGAGGUGAAAUUCGUAGAUAUUAGGAAGAACACCGGUGGCGAAGGCGGCUCACUGGAUCGGUACUGACGCUGAGGUGCGAAAGCGUGGGGAGCAAACAGG